GCGGGUGUGGCGGAACUGGUAGACGCACCAGAUUUAGGUUCUGGCGCCGCAAGGUGUGGGGGUUCGAGUCCCUCCACCCGCA
rnacentral:tRNA from 1 species